rnacentral:rRNA from 1 species
UACGGGGGGUGAGCAAGCGUUGUUCGGAUUUACUGGGCGUAAAGGGCGCGUAGGCGGUCAGCACAAGUCAGUUGUGAAAUCUCCGGGCUUAACUCGGAACGGUCAACUGAUACUGUGCGACUAGAGUGCAGAAGGGGCAACUGGAAUUCUCGGUGUAGCGGUGAAAUGCGUAGAUAUCGAGAGGAACACCUGCGGCGAAGGCGGGUUGCUGGGCUGACACUGACGCUGAGGAGCGAAAGCGUGGGGGAGCGAACAGG